rnacentral:rRNA from 1 species
AGCCAUGCGAGUCGUUGUAGCAAUACAAGGCGGACGGCUCAGUAACACGUAGUCAACCUAACCUAUGGACGUGGAUAACCUCGGGAAACUGAGAAUAAACCGCGAUAGAUCAUUAUGCCUGGAAUGGCUUAUGGUCCAAACAAUUUAUUGCCAUAGGAUGGGACUGCGGCCUAUCAGCUUGUUGGUGAGGUAAUGGCCCACCAAGGCUAUAACAGGUACGGGCUCUGAGAGGAGAAGCCCGGAGAUGGGUACUGAGACACGGACCCAGGCCCUAUGGGGCGCAGCAGGCGAGAAAACUUUGCAAUGUGCGAAAGCACGACAAGGUUAAUCCGAGUGGUUUCUGCUAAAGAAACCUUUUGUCAGUCCUAGAAACACUAACGAAUAAGGGGUGGGCAAGUUCUGGUGUCAGCCGCCGCGGUAAUACCAGCACCCCGAGUGGUCAGGACGUUUAUUGGGCCUAAAGCAUCCGUAGCCGGCUCUGCAAGUCUUCGGUUAAAUCCACCUGCUCAACAGAUGGGCCGCUGGAGAUACUACAGAGCUAGGGAGUGGGAGAGGCAGACGGUAUUCAGUGGGUAGGGGUAAAAUCCUCUGAUCCAUUGAGGACCACCAGUGGCGAAGGCGGUCUGCCAGAACACGUUCGACGGUGAGGGAUGAAAGCUGGGGGAGCAAACCGGAUUAGAUACCCGGGUAGUCCCAGCUGUAAACGAUGCAAACUCGGUGAUGCAUUGGCUUAUGGCCAAUGCAGUGCCGCAGGGAAGCCGUUAAGUUUGCCGCCUGGGAAGUACGGACGCAAGUCUGAAACUUAAAGGAAUUGGCGGGGGAGCACCACAAGGGGUGAAGCCUGCGGUUCAAUUGGAGUCAACGCCGGGAA